rnacentral:tRNA from 3 species
UCCCAGAUAGCUCAAUUGGCAGAGCAAGCGACUGUUAAUCGCUAGGUUGCAGGUUCGAGUCCUGCUCUGGGAGCCA